GGUUGAGCGACAACCCCUCCAGACAUCAUCGGGCCUCAGAAACCUCAGGAUCCCCCGGGAGGUGGGCCAAGGCCACUGCUAGUCCAGUUGGAUUCUAGUGCCUGUGACCCGGGAGCAGAAAUGCCGUUAUUCACACAUUGCGUGGACUCCGUACGGGCUCUGUGUCCGGUGCUUUGGAGACACAGAAGCAGAUUCCGCGGCGAGGACAGACCCAAGGCUCCUGGAACGGGAAUCUCGGUGACAUCAGCGGGAGCCCAGCCCGGGUGGCUCCUAGGCCAUGGCCGCGUCCUGAGCCUGAAGGAGCUGCAGAAGCUGGGUUUAUUUUGUGUGAGGAGAAGAAAAAGGACUGAGAAAGAAGGAAAGAAAGCAAGCGGGGAAAGAGUUAAGGAAGAAGGAAACAACUAA
rnacentral:lncRNA from 1 species